rnacentral:tRNA from 1 species
UCCUUGGUGGUCCAGUGGUUAAGACUCUGCCCUUCCAAUGCAGGGGUGUGGGUUCAUUUCCUUAUCAGGGAA